AUAUUUACCUGGCAGGGGAGAUACCAUGAUCACGAAGGUGGUUUUCCCAGGGCAAGACUUAUCCAUUGCACUCCAGAUGUGCUGACUCCAGUGAUUUCCCCAAAUGCGGGAAAACAGAAAUCAAGCUGAGCGAGCUAUGAAGAACAAUCCAGUAUGCAGCAUUCUUC
ensembl:snRNA U1 U1 spliceosomal RNA